GACGAACGCUGGCGGCGUGCUUAACACAUGCAAGUCGAACGGAAAGGCCCUGCUUUUGUGGGGUGCUCGAGUGGCGAACGGGUGAGUAACACGUGAGUAACCUGCCCUUGACUUUGGGAUAACUUCAGGAAACUGGGGCUAAUACCGGAUAGGAGCUCCUGCUGCAUGGUGGGGGUUGGAAAGUUUCGGCGGUUGGGGAUGGACUCGCGGCUUAUCAGCUUGUUGGUGAGGUAGUGGCUUACCAAGGCUUUGACGGGUAGCCGGCCUGAGAGGGUGACCGGCCACAUUGGGACUGAGAUACGGCGCAGACUGCUACGGGAGGCAGCAGUGGGGAAUAUUGCACAAUGGGCGGAAGCCUGAUGCAGCAACGCCGCGUGCGGGAUGACGGCUUUCGGGUUGUAAACCGCUUUCGCCUGUGACGAAGCGUGAGUGACGGUAAUGGGUAAAGAAGCACCGGCUAACUACGUG
rnacentral:rRNA from 1 species